rnacentral:rRNA from 1 species
UUUUGAGCRUGCGCCUCCCUUCUCGGGAAU